AAAAAAAUCUCUUCCCUCAGAUCUGCACCACCCCAAUUCCCCAUCGGCCGCCGCCUCCGCCCCCAGCCAGCUCCGAUUCCCAGCCCUCCCCUUUGCGCCCCUGCUAACCCCGCCCCCUCGCGCCCUCCACCUCCCGCCACUGCCGCCAGGAGCGCUCCACCUCCCGCCACUGCCGCCAGGAGCGCGGUGAGGCGCCGCCUUCGCGCGAGUCCGUCAUUGAUGCCAUGCUUCAGAGGGCUGGGGAGGCCGACCAGCUCGCAAAGGCCGCUUCCGUCUCCUCUGACUCCAACCUCGUCAUCGACCUAUGAGUGCCCGUCCAUCUCCUCCGCCUCCUUGGGGGGAAAUUUUCAGUUGGUGUUGCGAGAUUUGCGUCUCCGCCUGCUUUGGAUUCUCAUGGAUUAGGUUGGUUUGGCGCAGGGACGACACGACGGGCGAGACGGACGAGGAGAGGCGGCGGCUGCGGAAGGAGCAGGAGGCCCUGGCCUCAGUUUCCCUGGACGAUGACCGUAGAGGAGCUAGAUGCGAACAAGAGGCGGGCAUUCCUUGUGUGGCGUAUAAUUCUUGCAAAAUUGGAAGAGAAUGGCAAGCUUUUCCUGACACCCUUUGAGAAGAAUUUUGACAUCUGGAGAUAGCUCUGGAGAGUGCUUGAAUGCAGUGAUUUGGUGAGCCUAAGGAUGUUAGACCGGAUGGUCAAAGCACUCCGGUGGCACCCCCGCAGCCAGAGUUCGAGCCCCCGUAGGCGCACUCGGGUGGAGUUUUCGGGAAUUUCCCGUGCGGGGUAAAAAAAACCCCCUCG